UAGGGAAUCUUCCACAAUGGACGCAAGUCUGAUGGAGCAACGCCGCGUGAGUGAAGAAGGUUUUCGGAUCGUAAAGCUCUGUUGUUGGUGAAGAAGGAUAGAGGCAGUAACUGGUCUUUAUUUGACGGUAAUCAACCAGAAAGUCACGGCUAACUACGUGCCAGCAGCCGCGGUAAUACGUAGGUGGCAAGCGUUGUCCGGAUUUAUUGGGCGUAAAGCGAGCGCAGGCGGAAUGAUAAGUCUGAUGUGAAAGCCCACGGCUCAACCGUGGAACUGCAUCGGAAACUGUCAUUCUUGAGUGCAGAAGCGGAGAGUGGAAUUCCAUGUGUAGCGGUGGAAUGCGUAGAUAUAUGGAAGAACACCAGUGGCGAAGGCGGCUCUCUGGUCUGCAACUGACGCUGAGGCUCGAAAGAAUGGGUAGCGAACAGG
rnacentral:rRNA from 1 species